rnacentral:rRNA from 1 species
GACAGAGGUCCCGAGCGUUAGGCGGAAUCACUGGGCUUAAAGCGUGUGUAGGCGGCGGCCUAAGUACCUUGUGAAAUCCCACGGCUCACCCGUGGAACUGCUCGGUAUACUGGGUCGCUUGAGCCACUUAGGGGCUACCGGAACAAAUGGUGGAGCGGUGAAAUGCGUAGAUAUCAUUUGGAACGCCAAUGGUGAAAACAGGUAGCUGGGAGUGUGCUGACGCUGAGGAGCGAAAGCAUGGGGAGCGAACAGG